GAAGAAGAAGCCUAAGAGACCAGCAGAGACAUUCAGGGAUGGGAUAACGCCAGUGGUGAGAUUCAGUUUCAUCACUAUAAAGCUGAACAAAACCCCCAAAAUGAAGCUCACAACGAAGGCUCUCAAGAUAAUCUUCGUCUCGCUCUUCUGAGACAUAGGAGGAUGGAUUUCUUUCUUCAUUGGUAUCCAUUGCCAUUUUUCGGAUCUUGAAGAAGCAAAGAAAGACAGUUGACCUACCGGCUGUGAUUGAGAAAGUAGUGAAGAGUGAGAAUGAUAGAGCAAGUAAGAAGCAAUUGAGAGUUUUAUUUUGAAUUUGGAUUAUUUUGGGUCUGACGAUGCCCCAAUUGGCCGCUAAACGACGUCAAGUCACCCUUCUCAACGAGAAAAUUAUAGAGUGACCCGGUAUUUCAAUUCAAUUUGCCUUUAAUUUCCAAA